CCUACGGGUGGCUGCAGUGGGGAAUAUUGCACAAUGGGGGAAACCCUGAUGCAGCAACGCCGCGUGAAGGAAGACGGUUUUCGGAUUGUAAACUUCUGUUCUUAGUGAAGAAUAAUGACGGUAGCUAAGGAGCAAGCCACGGCUAACUACGUGCCAGCAGCCGCGGUAAUACGUAGGUGGCAAGCGUUGUCCGGAAUUACUGGGUGUAAAGGGUGCGUAGGCGGACUGUUAAGUCAGCGGUAAAAGCCCGGGGCUCAACCCCGGCGAGCCGUUGAAACUGGCUGUCUUGAGAUGUCGAGAGGUAUGCGGAAUGCGCAGUGUAGCGGUGAAAUGCUUAGAUAUUGCGCAGAACUCCGAUUGCGAAGGCAGCAUACCGGCGGCGAUCUGACGCUGAGGCACGAAAGCGUGGGUAUCGAACAGGAUUAGAUACCCCAGUAGUC
rnacentral:rRNA from 1 species